AAAAGAAACCAACAGGGAUUGCCCUAGUAACGGCGAGUGAAGCGGCAACAGCUCAAAUUUGAAAUCUGGCUACUUUGUAGUCCGAGUUGUAAUUUGUAGAGGAUGCUUUUGGUGAGGUGCUUUCUGAGUUCCCUGGAACGGGACGCCAGAGAGGGUGAGAGCCCCGUACAGUUAGCAACCGAUCCUUUGUAUAGCUCCUUCGACGAGUCGAGUAGUUUGGGAAUGCUGCUCUAAAUGGGAGGUAUAUCUCUUCUAAAGCUAAAUAUAGGCUAGAGACCGAUAGCGCACAAGUAGAGUGAUCGAAAGAUGAAAAGCACUUUGAAAAGAGAGUUAAACAGCACGUGAAAUUGUUGAAAGGGAAGCGCCUAUGACCAGACUUGUUUCUAUCAGUUUUGGUAGUUUUCGGACUGCUUUACUCUGUUAGUACAGGCCAACAUCAGUUUGUUGUCGGGGAGAAAGGCUUAGGGAAUGUGGCUCCCUCGGGAGUGUUAUAGAUCUUUGCAUAAUACCCUUCGGCAGACUGAGGA
rnacentral:rRNA from 1 species